GGUUAGAAGCUCUGCUCCCCGGCGGGGACACUCAGUCGCGUCGGCACCGCGGAGCGGGCUGCGUCAGGUGCUGGAGAAUCUGGUAAAAGCACCAUUGUGAAGCAGAUGAGGAUCCUGCAUGUUAAUGGGUUUAAUGGAGAGGGCGGCGAAGAGGACCCGCAGGCUGCAAGGAGCAACAGCGAUGGUGAGAAGGCAACCAAAGUGCAGGACAUCAAAAACAACCUGAAAGAGGCGAUUGAAACCAUUGUGGCCGCCAUGAGCAACCUGGUGCCCCCCGUGGAGCUGGCCAACCCCGAGAACCAGUUCAGAGUGGACUACAUUCUGAGUGUGAUGAACGUGCCUGACUUUGACUUCCCUCCCGAAUUCUAUGAGCACGCCAAGGCUCUGUGGGAGGAUGAAGGAGUGCGUGCCUGCUACGAACGCUCCAACGAGUACCAGCUGAUUGACUGUGCCCAGUACUUCCUGGACAAGAUCGAUGUGAUCAAGCAGGCUGACUAUGUGCCGAGCGAUCAGGACCUGCUUCGCUGCCGCGUCCUGACUUCUGGAAUCUUUGAGACCAAGUUCCAGGUGGACAAAGUCAACU
rnacentral:sRNA from 1 species